CCAAUAGCGUAUAUUAAAGUUGUUGCAGUUAAAAAGCUCGUAGUUGAAUUUCGGGGUCUAUCCGUCGGUCGGGCUUUUGGGUCUGUACUGGCGUGAUGGAUUCCUACCUUCGGAAUAACCGGCAUGUAAUUAAUUUGGUGCGCCGGGGAAGCAGGACUGUUACCUGGAAAAAAUUAGAGGGCUGAAAGCAGGCUAUUGCCGGAAUACAUUAGCAUGGAAUAAGGAAAUAGGACGGCAUGGUUCUAUUUUGUUGGUUUCUAGGAUCACCGUAAUGAUUAAUAGGGAUAGUUGGGGGCAUUAGUAUUCAAUUGUCAGAGGUGAAAUUCUUGGAUUUAUUGAAGACUAACUUCUGCGAAAGCAUUUGCCAAGGAUGUUUUCAUUAAUCAAGAACGAAAGUUAGGGGAUCGAAGACGAUCAGAUACCGUCGUAGUCUUAACCAUAAACUAUGCCGACUAGGGAUCGGACGAUGUUAAUUUUUUAAUGACUCGUUCGGCGCCUUACG
rnacentral:rRNA from 1 species